GACGAACGCUGGCGGCGUGCCUAAUACAUGCAAGUAGAACGCACAGUUUAUACCGUAGCUUGCUCCACCAUAAACUGUGAGUUGCGAACGGGUGAGUAACGCGUAGGUAACCUGCCUGGUAGCGGGGGAUAACUAUUGGAAACGAUAGCUAAUACCGCAUAAUAUUGAUUAUUGCAUGAUAAUUGAUUGAAAGAUGCUAUUGCAUCACUACCAGAUGGACCUGCGUUGUAUUAGCUAGUAGGUGAGGUAACGGCUCACCUAGGCGACGAUACAUAGCCGACCUGAGAGGGUGAUCGGCCACACUGGGACUGAGACACGGCCCAGACUCCUACGGGAGGCAGCAGUAGGGAAUCUUCGGCAAUGGACGAAAGUCUGACCGAGCAACGCCGCGUGAGUGAAGAAGGUUUUCGGAUCGUAAAGCUCUGUUGUAAGAGAAGAACGGGUGUGAGAGUGGAAAGUUCACACUGUGACGGUAUCUUACCAGAAGGGGACGGCUAACUACGUG
rnacentral:rRNA from 1 species